UGUAUAUGUAAGAUAUAUACAUAUAUAAAUAAAUCUAAUUUUUUAUUUUAAAUGUUUGAACUUUUGAGUGUAUCUUUAUAGUAUGUAUAUUAUGGAAAUAGAAUAUAUUUUAGCAUUGAGUACUGUAGAGCAAAUGAAGUUAAUGGCUCUAUAUUUGCACAGGAAAAAAGAACAAGACUACAAGUUAUUUCACUGGCUAAAGUUAAAAUGAAGCAAGAUUCUUCAGAAAUAUUAAUGGUUAACCACUCAGUCUGCUGAUUUUGACAUAUUCUUAGCAUAUUGGUUAGGUCUUGGUGUAUAUCUUUUCAAGACUCAGUUCUUAUGGAAUGCCAGGAGCACCUCUGCUUUGUGUAAAAUGAGUUUUCUUCCAAGAUUUCUCGUUCUUCCAUGAAUUUAACCAUACAAGGACACGAUGACUUAGGAGAGGCUGAUUUUUACACCAUAAUUUCUCUUCAUUUGUUUUUUUGCUUAACAAAGAUGUUGUGAUUGUCUCAUUGAGCAGACAGUGUAGGAACAAUGUCUAUAUUGUACAUGCUGUUAGCAUAUUAUGUAUGUUUUAAUUGAUAGUUUCAAUCUUUAAGCUGGGAUUGGGUGAAUAAAAUUGGGGGACACAUUUCUUAUUUCAGUGUCUUUUUUUCUGGAGCAAACAUUACAACUGACAGCUUCUAAUAAUUCAUACAUCUUUCCACUGUUUCAGAGAAAGUUGAUCUUCCUUUUUUUCUUUCGCCUGCCCCCAUCAAUGAAGGAGCUAUUAAUUAUUUGCUUAUUUACCAAAUCUGAACCCUGGUAUGACUAUUUUAUCCACCUUGGACUGUGGUUACUAAUAGCUUUCGCUUUGAAGAAACUGAAAACUGUAAAAAAAUAAAUAAAUGCCACUAUCACUAACAGUGGAAUCAAGUUAUCUGGAAUGGCAGCCUUUUGACACAGCACACAUCUUAAUCACUGAAAAGAAUGGUAGUUGCCUCGCUGCAUGGAUAGCAAAGUAGCUUAGCUUGAAAUUCUGAUCCUGCUUAUGCAUCUCUCUCCUCCCUUCCUGUUCCUUUUUCAAGGAUGGAUUCCAGUUGCUUCAGGUCCUCCUCUAGCCUCAAGACAGAUGCUUGUGUGCUUUUGUGCCUUAAAAUAGCUCUUCUUUUUGGACAAUCCAGCUUGUUCCUUGGAAAAACCUUUCCUGGGACAGUUAAAGGAAUAUUUAGCAGUAGCCUUAGAAAUGUGCCAACUGUCUGACUCACGGAACUGUGCUUGUAGAAGGCGAUUCACUUUUAGUGACUGCAA